GACGAACGCUGGCGGCGUGCUUAACACAUGCAAGUCGAACGCUGAAGGCCUGGCUUUUGUUGGGUUGGAUGAGUGGCGAACGGGUGAGUAACACGUGAGUAACCUGCCCUCUUCUUUGGGAUAACGCCCGGAAACGGGUACUAAUACUGGAUAUUCACUGAUCUUCGCAUGGGGGUUGGUGGAAAGGUUUGUUCUGGUGGGGGAUGGGCUCGCGGCCUAUCAGCUUGUUGGUGGGGUGAUGGCCUACCAAGGCUUUGACGGGUAGCCGGCCUGAGAGGGUGACCGGUCACAUUGGGACUGAGAUACGGCCCAGACUCCUACGGGAGGCAGCAGUGGGGAAUAUUGCACAAUGGGCGAAAGCCUGAUGCAGCGACGCCGCGUGAGGGAUGGAGGCCUUCGGGUUGUAAACCUCUUUCGCUCAUGGUCAAGCCGCAACUGUGGGUUGUGGUGAGGGUAGUGGGUAAAGAAGCGCCGGCUAACUACGUG
rnacentral:rRNA from 1 species